rnacentral:rRNA from 1 species
UACGUAGGGGGCAAGCGUUGUCCGGAAUCAUUGGGCGUAAAGCGCGUGUAGGCGGCCAGAUAAGUCUGCUGUGAAAUCUCGAGGCUCAACUUCGAGCUGUCGGUGGAAACUGUCUGGCUAGAGUCCGGAAGAGGAGAAUGGAAUUCCUGGUGUAGCGGUGAAAUGCGCAGAUAUCAGGAAGAACACCCGUGGCGAAGGCGGUUCUCUGGGACGGUACUGACGCUGAGACGCGAAAGCGUGGGGAGCGAACAGG